CACGUAGGGGGCGAGCGUUGUCCGGAAUCAUUGGGCGUAAAGAGCUCGUAGGCGGCUCAGUAAGUCGGGUGUGAAACCCCCAGGCUCAACCUGGGGACGCCACCCGAUACUGCUGUGGCUAGAGUCCAGUAGGGGAGUGUGGAAUUCCCGGUGUAGCGGUGAAAUGCGUAGAUAUCUGGAGGAACACCGGUGGCGAAGGCGGCAUUCUGGACUGUAACUGACACUGAGGAACGAAAGCCAGGGGAGCAAACGGG
rnacentral:rRNA from 1 species